UUUCCUUCCUGCAAGGAGAGGUAGAACAGCAUUAUAAACUCUGCACUGUAGUUAGCUACAGAAGUGCAAGUCAGGUCUUCCUGGAGGAAAGGUAUUACUGGAGGACUUUGAAUUGGAUUCUGGAACAAUGGACCUGUAUAUAAACUCGCAUAUAUAAAAUAAGGAAUCUGAUUUUUCCAGCUGUGGUUAGCUGUUCACCUUCCAGCACAAAGUCCUUCUCUUUACAUCAUAAUUUGCCUUCAUUCUAUGUCAAUGAGAGGAACUUUAAUCUUGGAUACUGCUGUAUAAGGUGCUGCUCACAUUAAAAGAAUGGCAAGGAUGCCCUGAAAUGUGAAGACUUCUUUUAAUGCCUUAUGAGAGUUACUGUGAGAAAGGUGAUCAAAAGGACUCUGCUGGCUUGGGUGCCCUUUAUCUCCGAGGAAGGUGAUGCACAGCAUCUGGAGAUGAUGGAACGCAUGAUUAACAUUACCACAGAGAAUGAUUAAUAUCUUCUUAAAGCACCUACUUCCAGAUUAUCCAUCAUUUCA